ACCCUAUGAAUUUAUGAAUUUAAAUAAUAUAUUUUCAUAUUAAUUAAAUUUUGGCUGGGGCGGCUGAGAAAUAUUAAAAACUUUUUGUUUUAACAUGACCCAUUAUUAAUGAUUAAAUGAAAAAAUA
rnacentral:rRNA from 1 species